rnacentral:rRNA from 1 species
GCUCAGAAACUACAAGGAAUUGACGGGGGCCCGCACAAGACGGAGGAACAUGUGGUUUAAUUCGAUGAUACGCGAGGACCUUACCCGGGCUUGAAAUGCAUCUGACCGGCCUUGAAAGAGGCACUCCCUUCGGGGCAGAUGUGUAGGUGCUGCAUGGUUGUCGUCAGCUCGUGCCGUGAGGUGUCGGCUUAAGUGCCAUAACGAGCGCAACCCUCAUCAUUAGUUACCAUCAGGUAAGGCUGGGGACUCUAAUGAGACUGCCAUCGUAAGAUGUGAGGAAGGUGGGGAUGACGUCAAAUCAGCACGGCCCUUACGUCCGGGGCGACACACGUGUUACAAUGGGUGGUACAAAGGGCAGCUACCUGGCGACAGGAUGCUAAUCUCGAAAACCGCUCUCAGUUCGGAUCGGAGUCUGCAACUCGACUCCGUGAAGCUGGAUUCGCUAGUAAUCGCGCAUCAGCCACGGCGCGGUGAAUACGUUCCCGGGCCUU